UUCGCCGCCGCCGCUGCCGCGCGUGCGCACCGCCCGCCGCCCCUCGGGAGGGGAGGGCAGCGGGGGAGGGCGACUGAAGAGGACGUCACGAGCGGCCGCCAUGUUGACUGAGGGCAGAGCGACGGCUCGGAAGGCCUGCGCGGCGUUUUCUGAUGAGGUCACGGCGGUUUCAAGUUAUCUGGUGUAUGAAGAUUUCUGAUUUUGAUACGCAUAAGGGAAUUUUUCUUUCCUCUUUACUUAUAUUAUUUUUUUCGUGGUUUUUUUUUUUUUGAAACAAGACCUCACUCCGCGGCAAAAACUGGCCUUAAACUCACUGCACGCCAGCCUCCAACUCCUGGCUAUCCUGCGCGUGCCAACGUUCCAAGAUAACGGUAAUAGGAAAAGAAGUGGUAGAGUAUGUGCCGGUGUCCUGGGUCCUACCCCGUACUACCACCACCACCAAGAAGAAAAGAAAGUAAAUAUAUGGAGAAUUGAAAAGCAAAAAAAAGUACCUCGUUCUCGGGACCUGUCACCCCUGGACAGAAACGGAAUCUACAUGCGACACAUUCCCUCAAUAAAUAUACUCUGCUCUUCA